GACGAACGCUGGCGGCGUGCUUAACACAUGCAAGUCGAACGGAAAGGCCCUGCUUUUGUGGGGUGCUCGAGUGGCGAACGGGUGAGUAACACGUGAGUAACCUGCCCCUGACUUUGGGAUAACUUCAGGAAACUGGGGCUAAUACCGGAUAGGAGCUCCUGCUGCAUGGUGGGGGCUGGAAAGUUUCGGCGGUUGGGGAUGGACUCGCGGCGUAUCAGCUUGUUGGUGGGGUAGUGGCUUACCAAGGCUUUGACGGGUAGCCGGCCUGAGAGGGUGACCGGCCACAUUGGGACUGAGAUACGGCCCAGACUCCUACGGGAGGCAGCAGUGGGGAAUAUUGCACAAUGGGCGGAAGCCUGAUGCAGCAACGCCGCGUGCGGGAUGACGGCCUUCGGGUUGUAAACCGCUUUCGCCUGUGACGAAGCGUGAGUGACGGUAAUGGGUAAAGAAGCACCGGCUAACUACGUG
rnacentral:rRNA from 1 species